rnacentral:lncRNA from 1 species
CUGCAGCGCCGCCGGCUUCAGCAGCAGCACGGAGUGCAGUGUUGUAUAUAUGUACAGUUCCGUGGGCUUCACACUCAUGGGAAUGGAAGAGCGCGAGGCGAGGAGUGAACUAUCGGGGCGUUUCAGUAGGGUUGUGCCGCUGAUUAACUCACCAAGAAGGCAAAGCCCUGUUUCCGUGCUGUGAGAUGCAGACCUUUCUUCUUUUCGCCCCCUUGCCAUGUGAAACAGAACCCGCCUCAGAAUUUGCCCAGAAGCUUUUCCUUCCUGCGUGGCCCUGCCCUGCAUUUGGCUGCAGUCUGCUCCGGGCUGCCUCCGGCCGAGCUGUAUGGCUCACCUGCCCUGGGUUCGGGUUUUCCGUCUCCUUUUGCUACCGACCUUCACGCCGUCUUCCCCGGGAUUCCCUCUGUCUGCAGUGAUAUCGUAGCUGCUGCCCUCUCCCACAGCCUGCUCGCUGCCCCUGACCUCCGGUUCUGGCCCGACUCCGAAUCUCCUCUGACUAGUUUAAAGAAUUAUUUACAUACACUAAUACUGCAUUGGAUUUAAGUCGAGUACUGUCUUUUUUAAUUUGUUUAUUUUUUCCUAGUUAAUCAUUCAUACUAUCUCAUGUCAUCUCGGAAUUCUCUGGAACUGGAGUUAAUCCUGCGCUUACGACUGGUGGUUCUUCCAUUAAGCUGGAUUUGCAAUGUACCAUCUGUUAAAGGUUUGCAGGUACACUUACCUUUAUUUAUGUGCAUAGUUCCAUGUAAGUCAAUAGGACUACUUCCAGUACAUCAAAUUAAAAUGUUGCCCCACAGAUGGCUGCAUUUGCACAAAAAGCAUAGCAGAAGAUUGAUGUGGCAGCAGAAAAAAGUGGCAUAAAGAAGGAAGAGAACUGUCUAGAUCAAUUUUGCUGCUGGAGAAAAUGUAGUAUGGAAAUGAAUUCUGACUUGCAACUAAAGAAGAAAGAAUAAAAGCCUUUAAUGAAUUGAAAUAUCUGCA